rnacentral:rRNA from 1 species
AACGAACGCUGGCGGCGUGCCUAACACAUGCAAGUCGAACGAGAAAGGGGCUUCGGCUCCGAGUAAAGUGGCGCACGGGUGAUUAACACGUGGGUAACCUGCCUCUAAGAUUGGGAUAACUCGUCGAAAGAUGAGCUAAUACCGAAUAAGACCACAGUUUCUGCGGGACAGGGGUCAAAGGUAGCCUCUGCUUGCAAGCUAUCCCUUAGAGAUGGGCCUGGGCACCAUUAGCUAGUUGGUAGGGUAACGGCCUACCAAGGCAAAGAUGGUUAGCUGGUCUGAGAGGAUGAUCAGCCACACUGGAACUGAGACACGGUCCAGACUCCUACGGGAGGCAGCAGUGGGGAAUAUUGCGCAAUGGGCGAAAGCCUGACGCAGCAACGCCGCGUGAGUGAUGAAGGCCUUCGGGUCGUAAAGCUCUGUCGGAAGGAACGAAUGCUCCUGAGGUUAAUAGCCUCAGGAGGUGACGGUACCUUCAAAGGAAGCACCGGCUAACUCUGUGCCAGCAGCCGCGGUAAAAC